rnacentral:tRNA from 3 species
GGGCUCAUAGCUCAGCUGGGAGAGCGCAACGCUGGCAGUGUUGAGGUCUGCGGUUCGAUCCCGCAUGGGUCCACCA